AUCAUUACCGAGUUAGAGUCCUCUACGGCUCGACCUCCUACCCUUUGUCUACCUUACCUUUUGUUGCUUCGGCGGAUCCGCCCUUUCGAGGACCGCCGGAGGGUGUCACACCCCUCUGGCCCGCGCCCGCCGGUAGCCCACAACAAAAACUCUUGUUUUAAAACGUGUCGUCUAAGUACAAAAAACAAAUAAGUAAAAACUUUCAACAACGGAUCUCUUGGUUCUGGCAUCGAUGAAGAACGCAGCGAAAUGCGAUAAGUAAUGCGAAUUGCAGAAUCCGUGAACCAUCGAAUCUUUGAACGCAAAUUGCGCUCGAGGCCUCGGCCAAGAGCAUGUCUGCCUCGGCGUCGGCUACUACCCUCAACUAAGUUUCCUGAUCUUAUAGGGGAUGCCGGUUGGAUCUGGCUGUCCGCGGUUCCUUUGCGGAUGCCGGUCAGCUUAAAUACAUUCACGCUCUGGGAGCUGCUUUCCUUUCAAGGAAAGGCGAGUUCCGAUUUGGUAGGUGACCUUUGCCGGUUACAUGCCUUCGUUGCUCGCUAAGCUUCCCAGUAGUCGAUGUGCAGGACGCCUUUUGGCUUUCGACCUGAGGUCAGGCAAGAACACCCGCUGAACUUAAGCAUAUCAAUAAGCGGAGGA
rnacentral:rRNA from 1 species